CUCAAGCUCUCCAUCCUCCUGUUUCAGCCUCCAGAGUGCUGAGGUUACAGCUGUGAAUGCCCUUGAACUGGGGAAACCUUUGCCUAGAAACCCUUUGCAAGAAGUGACACAGAGAUUAAGAGAAAGCAGGCAUCUGAAGAGUACAGUGGCACGUGGGUUCUGAGGGCAGAUUCCAUCUGCUGUGGUCAUCCAGGUCCAUCCUGUCAUCUGGGAAAGAGGGCUGAGGACUGGAUUUUACAUGCCAUGUUCCAUUGGCAUGGGCUGAACCACUACUGUUUAUUGAGCAAUGCACACAGGUGAUGAUGACCAAGACAGACAGACACUCUAGUUCUACCAACCUCGCUAUCUGUAUUAGUGACUUUUCGUCUUGAUGCAACAAAAUACCCAUCAAAGGAACUUAAUGGAAGGAAGGGCUUGUCCUGGCUCACAGUUCAAGGGUCCCCCCUCCUUCUGCUCUGCUGGCGCUCGACCCAGAAGGCAGAGUCUCUCAAUCAAGCCAGAGCCCACCAUUUGGCUGGUAUUGCUUCUCAACUUAUUCUAGGAACCUCCCUAAGCACGGAUCUAUCUCUAUUUCCUGUUUCUUCUUGGUCUUUUUGAGGUAGAGUCUCACUAUAUAGUCCAAAUUGGCCUGUUCCUGCCUCUGGGUGACUGGGGUUCCAUAUGUAGACCAUUAAGACUGCUUUUGCUGUCGUUUUAAAAGCUCCAAACAGCCUCAGUUUCCCUCUCUGGGAAACGAGGGUAAUGGUGCCUCCUG
rnacentral:lncRNA from 1 species